rnacentral:rRNA from 1 species
CGGCGUGCUUAACACAUGCAAGUUGCGCGGUGAUCUCAAGAAGUUUUCGGACGGAAAGGGAGAGCAGCAGCGGACGGGUGAGUAAAGCACAAGGACUUGUCCCGAAGAGGGGGACAACUGUGGGAAACCACAGCUAAUACCCCAUAAGCCGAGAGGUGAAAGCAGCGAUGCGCUUUAGGAGAGACUUGUGUCCUAUCAGGUAGUUGGUGAGGUAACGGCUCACCAAGCCGAAGACGGGUAGCCGGACUGAGAGGUUGUACGGCCACAUUGGAACUGAGAGACGGUCCAGACUCCUACGGGAGGCAGCAGUGGGGAAUAUUGGGCAAUGGGGGCCAACCCUGACCCAGCGACGCCGCGUGAGGGAAGACAGCCUUCGGGUUGUAAACCUCUGUUGCAGGGGAAGAAGAAAGUGACGGUACCCUGCGAGGAAGCUCCGGCAAACUACGUGCCAGCCGCGGC